CAAUAGCAUAUAUGAAUUUUGCUGCAGUUAAAACGCUCGUAGUCGAAAGUUGACCGCUUGUGUUACAAGCACGGCACCUCCAAAGAGUCAUUUCGGGGCAACUCGGAUGACGAUCUGGGGGGGGAUCAGCCAGGGAUGGUGGUCUCUGGCCACUGUCUCGGGUUGUGAUUACCGUGAGCAAAGCAAAGUUCUCCAAACAGAUCUUGCGAUCUUGAAUGAGUAAGCAUGGGAUAAUAUUUACCGCUGUGAAUAUUGGUUUUUCAACUCUUCGGAGUCGAGUCAUCGAUAUUUGACCGUGAUUAAUAGGGAUAACCGGGGGCAUUUGUAUUGGUCGGCGAGAGGUGAAAUUCUUAGACCCUUCCAAGACAAACUACUGCGAAAGCAUCUGCCAAGGGUGUUUUCAUUGA
rnacentral:rRNA from 1 species